rnacentral:lncRNA from 1 species
UUCACAACCUCACUGCCUUCAGCCCUGGUAGGCUCCACUUGCUCUGCUAGAUUACCAGGCCACAGGAUGGAGUUCUGGCCAACGAGCUGAAGGGGUACAGCAUUUGCAGCCCUAGCUCCUCACACAUCCCUGGCAAUCUUUCAGACGCUGUCACUGUGUCCACCCCAAUGGAAAUGAAAUAGUGAAGGUGGAAAGAGUGCAUCAAGAAAAUUAGCUAAACCAUGAAUCACCCACCCAGGAGAGCCGCCUGAUUCCUAUCAAACUGGGACGUUUUUAUUUGCAAGAAGACCCAAAUCUGACUGACAAACAAAAAAGGGAUUCUAUUGGCUCCCAGGGCUGGAAACUUCAAGAACAGAUUAAUCCUUAUGGCUGGUUUAAUUCAUCAAGAGACUCAAGGGCCACCCUUUCUCCUGCAUGGCUGGCAACAAGUUUUUCCAAGCAUUAAAUGGCAA